UUUUUAUUUUUUUGACAGUGUUUAGCAGGAUAUUUUUAGAUGACUUAGUCUGUGACUUCAUUGAUCCUUGGUUAGUACUUCAAUUAUAUGAGUAGGGCAAAAUUGGCUUCUUUUUUGAAGAGUAGUUUGUAAUCUGUAAGAAAAGAAAGUAUUUUAGCACUUACCUACGGUGAGAACUCAUGAAAUAAAACAUAAAACCUAACUAGGCUAUUCUGUGUAGUUAGGAAUACAUUUCAUCUAAUAAUAUCUACACAGAAAUGUAGCUCUAUUUAU